rnacentral:misc_RNA from 1 species
CUACAAGACACGAAUAUAUCAUUAGCUAAUCUCAAGGAGAUUGGUUCUAAUUCUUUCAUUUUCACUCUAAACAUGUAAAUGCAACCAAAUCUGCCUUCCUUGUUUCACAUUACAAGGUUAAAUACAUACUCUAAACAUCACAGUAAAAAUUCCUAAAAUAUGUAUUCAGCUUCAAUAUCCCUCAAACUUAGCAGACAAGGAAAAUUCUCUAAAGAUAAGAUUGACAAAUCUCAGGCUGCCUGCCUCUCUCCUAAUAUAUAAGAAUGAUGG